AGGACGAACGCUGGCGGCGUGCUUAACACAUGCAAGUCGAGCGGAAAGGCCCUUCGGGGUACUCGAGCGGCGAACGGGUGAGUAACACGUGAGUAAUCUGCCCCUAGCUCUGGGAUAGCUCCGGGAAACCGGGAUUAAUACCGGAUACGACCACCUUAGACAUCUUUUGUGGUGGAAAGAAUUUCGGCUAGGGAUGAGCUCGCGGCCUAUCAGCUAGUUGGUGGGGCAACGGCCCACCAAGGCGACGACGGGUAGCCGGCCUGAGAGGGCGACCGGCCACACUGGGACUGAGACACGGCCCAGACUCCUACGGGAGGCAGCAGUGGGGAAUAUUGCGCAAUGGGCGAAAGCCUGACGCAGCGACGCCGCGUGGGGGAUGAAGGCCUUCGGGUUGUAAACCCCUUUCAGCAGGGACGAAGCGAAAGUGACGGUACCUGCAGAAGAAGCGCCGGCUAACGUACGCGCCAGCAGCCGC
rnacentral:rRNA from 1 species